GUUGAUAGAUUAUUACUAGUUUCAUUGGGAGAACAAAUAGUGCAUGAAGAUGGGCAUGGAAUUCUACUAGGGUUGGAAUUGAUAAGGUUAUCAAAAUGAAUUAUUGUAGCUAUUAUUCUUUUUUGAGAUAAGGGGUAGGGGUCAAACUUUUUGAUACCUAUAGAAUUGGUAGAAGCAAUAGGGUAUUGUAAACCAAGAUCUUGAUGAAGCCUCACAUUGUUGAUAUCACAACCAGGGAUAGAGACUCGGUUGUCAAAUAUUUCAUGAAAACUAUAGGAAUCAAUAUUGGAAAAGACAUAUUCCAAUUUUGAUGGAUCAUACCUAGCUUGAGAACUUGAAAACUCUUC
rnacentral:lncRNA from 1 species